rnacentral:rRNA from 1 species
GUAUGGUGCAAGCGUUAUCCGGAUUUACUGGGUGUAAAGGGUGCGUAGGUGGCAAGGCAAGUCUGAAGUGAAAAUCUGGGGCCCAACCCCGGGGCUGCAUUGGAAACUGUCAAUCUAGAGUACCGGAGAGGUAAGCGGAAUUCCUAGUGUAGCGGUGAAAUGCGUAGAUAUUAGGAGGAACACCGGUGGCGAAGGCGGCUUACUGGACGGUAACUGACGUUGAGGCUCGAAAGCGUGGGGAGCAAACAGGAUUAGAUACCCUGGUAGUCCACGCCGUAAACGAUGACUACUAGGUGUCGGGCAGCAAAGCUGUUCGGUGCCGCAGCAAACGCAAUAAGUAGUCCACCUGGGGAGU